UCCUGACCCGUUACAUUAUACCUCGCUCUGUGCAGGGGCUUCACAGACCGGCAGCCUCCAGGAUCUGCUUAUUAGUGGUUUUCAACUGCUGGGUAAAGAAAAGGCUCACGGGCGGGGAUGGAUUCUACCACAACGAUGAUCUCACUCAAAGACCUCCGGCUGCUAAAUAUCGCCCUGACCAGUUCAGAGGCUACAACACAGAUCUCCGCGGGCUGUGGAUGUACAAGCUGGAGAGCCGUGUGGGGGCC